ensembl:lncRNA
GCAAACUUUGUGGAGACGAGGGGGAAAACAAAGAACUUGGAUUUAAAUGUAAAUCAGACUUUUCUGAAAUUUGCCCUUUGGUCAUACUCAGUUCCUUAAAACCUUCAGGGCUGAUCAAAGGAAGAGGAUUCAUAAUUAAGACUUCAGUCUCUUUCUGGUUGAGGCAGAGCCAAUUAGUGACCCCGGGAUGAAUCGGCCCUGGUUGUGGCAGAGCUGUCUGGAUGUGUGUGAACAUGUGUGUUUUUCAUGGACAGUAAAUAAACACAACACCAUGCUGUUGGCUUCAGAAGUGCACUGAAGGCCUAAACUGCUUACCUGCUCCCAAGAACUAGAACAAUGGAGGAAACUGGUUUCAUGGAUGUUCAUGGAUAGUUGGCAAGAUAUGUUUAAGACUGAAAAGCAUACUCUUCUAACACAGGCUAGAAAUAUUUUGAUCAAUGGCAAUGCUGCUACAGUGAGAAAUAUUAUUAAAUAUGUAAUUGCUUUGGGCCUGACAUUCUUCUGAGAGUGGCUUAUUUAAAGUCAUUUAAUUUUCACAACCUUCUACAGAGGGUAUCGACAUUGUCAGGAGAAGAACUUUGAAGCAAGGGAUGGCAAAGACAUUUGCCUAUGGCCACAUCAAGUAAGCAGAAGAAAUAGAAUUGAGGUAGGGGCCAGGAAGCCUGUGUCCAGAUGACAUGUUGUUCUUUACUAUAGAGCCAUUCCACAUGACCCCUAUAGUCAAGGUCUUAGAGUCUUAAUCCACUCUGAGGGCUCACAGGAGGAAUUUUUAGUCCCCUCCUUUCUAUCUCCCCAAGCUUUCGUUUCAUUUCCCAGGAGAUAGGAGGGUCAGCUAUGAACGCCUCUCAUCAAAGGGAAUGGAGAACAUGGCAGGCAUAAGGGAGUACGGACAAUGUGGGCACACAGGUAGGGUAGAUCACAAGUGUGGUGGUCUAUUCACUAUUUAGUAGAAGGGAUCCUGACUCCCCAGCCAUCAUUGUUUCACAGCUCUAGAGAAAAGAAGGGAGCUGCCUAAAAGUUACUAGCAGCUGGGGGAGCUUCCUUCUCCAUGGGUCUAUGUGAUGGGAUGGGAUGAGAAGUUGGGAGGAGCUUGGUGGGGACUUAGUGCUGGCUAGUGAAUAUGCUCUCCACUUCAACUGCACAGGGACUAUCAAAUGGUUUUCCCAAGUAUUACAGUAUGAUGCAGAGCUUUUGCCAGAGCUAGAGGGAAUAGAAUGCCGAAUCUCUUAUAGGUGUACAGUUUCUAACAUUAAGCAAGUGGAGGGAAAAUCCAGUGAUUGGGAUAGCCACUGGGGGAAUGGAAGAUGAAGGUCAAGUCUCUAAUUGGCAAGAUAUUAAGCUCCUUGGAUGGUGGAGUCCGCCGGUCAUGGAUCCCAUGGCAACAUUCACCUAAGAACUUAGGAGCCCUCUUCUCUAUCCAGUACCCUCUCAGCCACUAAGAGUAUAAAGUGAACAACGCUGACAUGAUCCCUGCUUCCUGGGACAACUGAAAUCCUCAGAGCCUUCAUGAGGAAAUGGAAAUUAAAGAUUUUAAGCACUCAGCUAAUGAGUGAAUGCAUAAAAUGCAUCCUAAAGCCCUUAAGUCCAGACUGUGCUUGUGCUUCCUGAGUCUGUGGAGUGAGGUGGUAUGAUGCCCUGAUGAAGGCACAGGCUCCACUUCUGUCUCAGGGUAGAAGAGCGUGUUGUUGGCUGUUUAACCCAAACCUUGAUGCCUUUUCCCAUCAGCCAUUUUAUUGUAUGGGGUCUUUCUCAACAGGAAAGAGGGCUAAGUUCAAGGGCCCCAGUGCCCCAAUACAAUCCUAUAUAUUGUGCUCAGGAAUGGAAAGCUAAUUUAAUAACCUCAGCAAAAUGUACAAAACUAGACAAUCAUCUUGAUUUAUAGAGUAUACAAAGAGUAGCCAACCUUUUAAGGUUAUUUCCCAGGAUUGCUCAGCCCUUCCCCACCUUUUGGUCCUAGGGAUUGAACACAGAGUCUUGUGCAUGCUAAGGUAGCACUCUACUACUGGAUUUAUACCCUAGACCUCUGCCUCCCUCCCUAAGGAUUUAUGGUAUGUCCCUUAGUCUUCACGCCUGGAAGUCUACAGCUCCCAAGCAACACAGGCUCUAAAAUAAAAAUUAUCAAAUUGCUUUUUGCUUCUUUCUCUGAACCCUAUAGUAGGACUUUUUUUUCUCCUGCCUCUUCUUUGACAUAGUUCUGGAAAUACUGGUACAGGCAGCUGUUUCCUGUCUUCACAUGGCUUGAAUAGGAGCUGGUAGACUUCUGGGGGCUUGCUCUUCUUUAAAAGGCAUUCCAAACUCAUCUGAGAAUACUCUUCAUACAUGAACUAGAAGGUGGGAGAGUGUUGGUUAGUUUUCUGCUAUUGUGACAGAGUAACUGAGAUGAGCAACUUGAAGGUUUGAGUCAUAGUUUCAGAUGUUUCAGUCCAUGAUCAGUUAGUUGACCCUGGUACUUUAAUGCGAUAGCAGUGCUGUAUGUCAUGGCUGCAGCAUGCCGCAGAGGAGAAAACUCAGCCUAGAAGUCAAGAGACAGAAGGGGCUGAGCUCUCCAUACCUCCUCAAAGGACCACCCCCCAUGCCCAGUGCACCAACUUGCUUUUAACAGGCUCUGCUUCCCAUAGGCUUUAUCACCAUCCAAUAAUACCACAGGCUAAGGGGCAACUUUUUAAUACAUGGGUCCUUGGGAGAGCAUUCUAGAUUUAAGCCAGCAGGACAUGUUUUAUUUCCAGAGCGUAAGUCAUCCGAACCAUGACGCUGGUGAGCCUGGUGGGGACAACACAGAGUGAAGAUCCAUGAACUCACUUAAAGUGGGAUGCUAC